rnacentral:rRNA from 1 species
UAGGGAAUCUUCCGCAAUGGGCGAAAGCCUGACGGAGCAACGCCGCGUGAGUGAUGAAGGUCUUCGGAUCGUAAAACUCUGUUAUUAGGGAAGAACAUAUGUGUAAGUAACUGUGCACAUCUUGACGGUACCUAAUCAGAAAGCCACGGCUAACUACGUGCCAGCAGCCGCGGUAAUACGUAGGUGGCAAGCGUUAUCCGGAAUUAUUGGGCGUAAAGCGCGCGUAGGCGGUUUUUUAAGUCUGAUGUGAAAGCCCACGGCUCAACCGUGGAGGGUCAUUGGAAACUGGAAAACUUGAGUGCAGAAGAGGAAAGUGGAAUUCCAUGUGUAGCGGUGAAAUGCGCAGAGAUAUGGAGGAACACCAGUGGCGAAGGCGACUUUCUGGUCUGUAACUGACGCUGAUGUGCGAAAGCGUGGGGAUCAAACAGGAUUAGAUACCCUGGUAGUCCACGCCGUAAACGAUGAGUGCUAAGUGUUAGGGGGUUUCCGCCCCUUAGUGCUGCAGCUAACGCAUUAAGCACUCCGCCUGGGGAGUACGACCGCNNAGGUUG